GCCAAAAGAUAAGGAGUGUUUUUGGUCUCCUUGGCUGCAGGUCAGCUGAGUGCCUGUGAACUGGGUGUAUGAAGAGCAGAUGAUUUCUAAGGUCCAGAACUGAAGGAUUAGGGGUUAAAUUUUUGGAAAAAAUUUUGCGUCUUAAGGCCAAGGCUGCAUUACCUAGAGCCUAGGAUGCCUCCGGCCUUGUUUUCCCACCUAAAGCUGCAGGCCCCUAGCGGCUUCCUCUUCUUAGCUACCACCUAGGAUUGUGGGUAAUGUAGUGCAGAGCCAGCUUCUCUGGGAUGCUUGUUCCUGCUCUCCCACCCUUCUUUUUCCCCCUGCCAGGCACCACCCCCUUCUGCUCCAGGCUGAGGGCAGCACAGGGUGAGAAGGCGGUGCCUGCUUCUUGCUGGGUUGGGAGAUCCCCAGCUGGAAACCAGCAAGCUAUUUAUAGCUGAGCCUAGCAGAGGGGGAAGUCCUGAGAGGAGCUGGGUCCCUCCAGCAGUCGCCUCUCCAGCUACAGAAUUUGCGGGUCUCUCUGCUGGGUAGGUCUUGUGUUCUCUCCUGGGUGAGAGGCCUUUGAGCCUCAGAAAGUCCUAUGAAGCAGUAGGGAUUCUGGGAGGCUCACUGCCUUGAGAGAGACAAAUACUGCCUCUGCAGUGGAGAUGUUUGGACCUGGGAAUGGAUAAGCUGAGACUUUUGCAACCAAUGCCAAUAUGACAGUUGCCUGGACAGGAACCAAACCUUCUCUUUCCUGAGGCACCAACCCCAUCUUCAUGCUGUAACAGGUGAUCUUGCCAAAAGGAAAACCAGCCCUCCCUACCAGGACUAAGCUGGGUGCACCUUUUGUUCCUCUACCCACCUAAUCCUCCCCCCUCAGUGCCUGGUGGCCUUCCCAUCAAAAGCAUAGAAUUUUCACUUGACUGGGUUCCCCACUAGAUUGGGCAGGCAUUCCUUGUGGACAUGGUGUCUCCCUUGCGGACUACUGUAUCCCCAUUGCCUGACGCAAUAAACAAUUUUUGAAUGAA